CCUACGGGUGGCAGCAGUGAGGAAUAUUGGUCAAUGGGCGAGAGCCUGAACCAGCAAAGUCGCGUGAAGGAUGAAGGAUCUAUGGUUUGUAAACUUCUUUUAUAUGGGAAUAAAGUGAGGAGAGUGUUACUUUUUGUAUGUACCAUAUGAAUAAGAAUCGGCUAACUCCGUGCCAGCAGCCGCGGUAAUACGGAGGAUGCGAGCGGUAUCCGGAUUUAUUGGGUUUAAAGGGUGCGUAGGUGGUUAAAUAAGUCAGCGGGUAAAGUUUGUGGCUCAACCAUAAGAUUGCCGUUGAAACUGGUUGACUUGAGUAUAGUUGAGGUAGGCGGAAUGCGUGGUGUAGCGGUGAAAUGCAUAGAUAUCACGCAGAACUCCGAUUGCGAAGGCAGCUUACUAAACUAUAACUGACACUGAGGCACGAAAGCGUGGGGAUCAAACAGGAUUAGAUACCCGAGUAGUC
rnacentral:rRNA from 1 species